UUAUUUAUUUACUUAUUUCAAUCUAUUUCAUAUCAAUCUUCCACUACCAUUUUUAUUUUUUUCCUCUACGUGGUAAUGACGGUUACAAUCAUCACCUUGCUGUUUAAUUUUUUCUCAAAUCCCCGUUCUUUCCGAUUAUUUUCUCAAAUCCCUAUUCUUCAUCUUUCCGAUUCCUAUCCCCUUCUCAGAUCUUUCCGUUGCAACAUUCCAAAUCUUUCUGAUUCCUAUUCUUUUCUCAAAUCCACAUUCCUCAUCUUCUUUAUUUCCCCUUUUCUUCAUCAUCUUCGUCAAUUGUAA